AGUGGACAAGGCGGAUCGGGUGAUCGGUCUUCUUUCGACAAGUCGUACCGGUACUGUUGCCAGGGAUGCGGUUCUAGAGCUAAUUCAAGCUUUUGCAUGUGAGACCUCGAUCCUAAUGUUAAAAGUAAAAACAUUAAGACAAGCAAUAGGGAAAGGAAGGAAUACUUACAUGCUUGGCUAUGGCUUCCCUAGUUUCUCUUUUGAACUUAUCCAAGAGUUUCACAGCUUUCUCAUCUAAAGCUAGAUUCAUCUUGACGGCUCGCUUCAGGAGAUCUACAAUGUAAAAGCAAUUUCUGCGAACAAUCGCAUUCUUCAAAAGGCAACCAAAAAUUUCUAUGUUCAUUCUGCGUGCAAUCAAGAAAAAACGAAUUAGACGAAAACACACGGUAUAGUUUAACUGCACAAAAAACCUGAAUCCUGCGUUUUCCAUAUCGCUCAGCAGAGAAUCGGCUUCUGGAAGAGUACGACAACCCAAGGCGAGAACCCCGAACGUCAUAAUAUCCGGAAAAAGUUGGUAAUCUUGAAAGUAACUUAAUAUUUCCUGAUAUCAGAUACGUAAUUUAACUUUAUAGAAAAUAAGAAACUAAAUUUCU